GGGAUGAAUUUGCCCAACCCUUCUUAUUUUACUAAAAAUAUAGCUAUCGGUUGUAAAUUGUUGCUUGCAUAAAAUCCUAUUGAACAUGAUUAUACGAUAUUUUCCAUAAAAUCUAAAUUUGUUACUUCCAGUAAUCGUAAUAUUAUUAAUUUUUUUAUGAAACAAAAUCAAGUAGACGAAUUUUUUGGGUAUUCGAAACAGUAACGUACAGCAUAAGCCAUUCGAUGUCUCAAUUCUUUCGCUUUUCGAUGACGAUUGACAUUCGGAAUUCGCCGUGUUGUCGCUUUUACUUUCAAUCGACGACUGAUAGUUGGUGUAAUCUAAUUGUUAUCACUUUACCUCUGAAGUUUAUUAAAUUUCAGUCUUGGUCAACGAUGCGUAAUUGUAAAUUAUCUAAACACUUCACGGUAACUGAGAGAUAAAUCACAUUUGAAGGAACUUCGAUAAUUUUAUAUCCAGGUGGUACUGCAGGAAAAAAUUCAUGAAUAUUGUAAACUUUACUCCCAUUCAUAUAUGCACCUGAGUUUACACCGUGCAAAUCCCAAUACUCGAUCAAUGGGACCUUGCGGACGGAAAUCGAUAUCUUCCGAACUUUCAAUUACACAACGUAAAGUAUUAUUGUUCGUUUAGAGAAUCACUGUUAUUUGAGUCUUUAUGGUUUUAUGAAGAAAUUUAUCAAUAAUCAAUUUUCAUAACUAC